UUCUCGAUUACUUGAUUAAGUUUUUUGUUGCCACUGAUCACAGAAAGUCUAUAAUUUUCAAAGCAUAUAUAAGCACUAUAUGAGCAAGCCAGAAAAUGACAAACUGUUGGCUUUGUUAUAUCAGUUCAGCAUUGAGAAGAUUGAGGUGGUUUUUAUUACAAACCAAAGUGGUUACUUACAAAUAGAACAUGUGACUUUAUUAAUUUUAAUUCACGAUUGAGUAUUUUCGUAUACUAGUUUUUUUUUUCAUUAAAAGGAUUAAAAGAACAUCAAUUGAUG